rnacentral:rRNA from 1 species
CCUACGGGUGGCAGCAGUGGGGAAUAUUGCGCAAUGGGCGCAAGCCUGACCCAGCGACGCCGCGUGAAGGAUGAAGGUCUUCGGGUCGUAAACCUCUGACAUCAGGGAAGAACGAUCCCUUUGCUACUCAGCCGUGAGUUGGCGCUACCUGCAAAGGCAGCGCCGGCUAACUCCGUACCAGCAGCCGCGGUAAUACGGAGGGUGCGGGCGUUAGUCGGAUUUACUGGGCGUAAAGCGCUCGUAGGCGGUAUUGCAAGUCACGGGUAAAAGCCCCGGGCUCAACGUAGGAACUGCCUUUGAAACUGGCAAACUGGAGUGCGGGAGAGGAUAGUGGAAUUCCAGGUGUAGGAGUGAAAUCCGUAGAUAUCCGGAGGAACAGCAGUGGCGAAGGCGAAUAGCUGGAAAAUAACUGACGCUGAGGAGCGAAAGCGUGGGUAGCAAACAGGAUUAGAUACCCCAGUAGUC